rfam:Stegodyphus mimosarum contig16571, whole genome shotgun sequence.
GCCUUCGUGGUGUAGUGGUCAGCACGCUCGACGCGUAACCGAGAGGUCCGUGGUUCGAUUCCCGGCGAAGGCU